UAUCACCAGAUAAACUGGAGA
rnacentral:snRNA from 1 species